GUUUAUUGGAGCUCAGAAACCUGUGCUAAUUCAUCUGACCUUCAACCUAAUUGUGCCAUGUGUUUCCUAGUGCCUCUUCUAGGCAUGGAGAAGAGUGCAACGUUUGCAUAAAGUAAACUGGAUGAAAUAAUCUCCUGUAAGUAUUCAUUGCAGUGGGCUAAAGUAUUGAGGUGAACAAAGGGCUGCCCUACUUGGGUCAUAUUCUAUCUGCUUGGCCUUUGAAAAAUACGGGGCUGUAACUGGAAUA
rnacentral:lncRNA from 1 species